AGAGAGAGACCAGCACAAAAGGACCAGUCCAGAUGCAGACCGGUCCCAGGUGUCAUGUCUAGUCAGGACAUGGCAAUAGGGCUCGGGACCCACAACGGGUCCAGGUCAUGUAUUCAAUUGGUUUUAAUAUUUUUGAAUAUUGUCAAAGCCCAAGUGCAAAGGAAUUAAUCUACAACUGUCUUGUUCUUUUUCUUUUCAGCAGCAGGACGAGGAAAUGUGCAGUCAUAUGUGAGGUGACAAAAUGGACUUUGGACCAACGAUAGUAGAAAGACAUCAUCUGUAAAUACCAGGAGAGAGAGACCAGCGGAAAAGGACCAGUCCAGAUGCAGACCGGUCCCAGGUGUCAUGUCUAGUCAAGACAUGGCAAUAGGGCUCGGGACCCACAACGGGUCCAGGUCAUGUAUUCAGUUGGUUUUAAUAUUUUUGAAUAUUGUUAAAACCCAAGUGCAAAGGAAUUAAUCUACAACUGUCUUGUUCUUUUUCUUUUCAGCAGCAGGAUGAAGAAAUGUGCAGUCAUAUGUGAGGACACAAAAUGGACUUUGGACCAACAAUAACAGAAAGACAUCAUCUGUAAAUACCAGGAGAGAGAGACCAGCACAAAAGGACCAGUCCAGAUGCAGACCGGUCCCAGGUGUCAUGUCUAGCCAGGACAUGGCAAUAGGGCUCGGGACCCACAACGGGUCCAGGUCAUGUAUUCAAUUGGUUUUAAUAUUUUUCAAUAUUGUUAAAACCCCAGUGCAAAGGAAUUAAUCUACAACUGUCUUUUUCUUUUUCUUUUCAGCAGCAGGAUGAAGAAAUGUUCAGAGGAGACCCCAGGACAAGAGAAGGACCAGACCCCAGACCAUCCCAUCCC